AUGAACGCUGGCGGCGUGCCUAAUCCAUGCAAGUCGAGCGAACAGACGAGGAGCUUGCUCCUCUGACGUUAGCGGCGGACGGGUGAGUAACACGUGGAUAACCUACCUAUAAGACUGGGAUAACUUCGGGAAACCGGAGCUAAUACCGGAUAAUAUAUUGAACCGCAUGGUUCAAUAGUGAAAGACGGUUUUGCUGUCACUUAUAGAUGGAUCCGCGCCGCAUUAGCUAGUUGGUAAGGUAACGGCUUACCAAGGCGACGAUGCGUAGCCGACCUGAGAGGGUGAUCGGCCACACUGGAACUGAGACACGGUCCAGACUCCUACGGGAGGCAGCAGUAGGGAAUCUUCCGCAAUGGGCGAAAGCUUGACGGAGCAACGCCGCGUGAGUGAUGAAGGUCUUCGGAUCGUAAAACUCUGUUAUUAGGGAAGAACAAAUGUGUAAGUAACGAUGCACGUCUUGACGGUACCUAAUCAGAAAGCCACGGCUAACUACGU
rnacentral:rRNA from 1 species